rnacentral:rRNA from 1 species
ACGAAACUUCUUUAUCACCGAGUGCUUGCACUCACCGAUAAAGAGUUGAGUGGCGAACGGGUGAGUAACACGUGGGCAACCUGCCCAAAAGAGGGGGAUAACACUUGGAAACAGGUGCUAAUACCGCAUAACCAUAGUUACCGCAUGGUAACUAUGUAAAAGGUGGCUAUGCUACCGCUUUUGGAUGGGCCCGCGGCGCAUUAGCUAGUUGGUGGGGUAAAGGCUUACCAAGGCAAUGAUGCGUAGCCGAACUGAGAGGUUGAUCGGCCACAUUGGGACUGAGACACGGCCCAAACUCCUACGGGAGGCAGCAGUAGGGAAUCUUCCACAAUGGGCGAAAGCCUGAUGGAGCAACGCCGCGUGGGUGAAGAAGGUCUUCGGAUCGUAAAACCCUGUUGUUAGAGAAGAAAGUGCGUGAGAGUAACUGUUCACGUUUCGACGGUAUCUAACCAGAAAGCCACGGCUAACUACGUGCCAGCAGCCGCGGUAAUACGUAGGUGGCAAGCGUUAUCCGGAUUUAUUGGGCGUAAAGGGAACGCAGGCGGUCUUUUAAGUCUGAUGUGAAAGCCUUCGGCUUAACCGAAGUAGUGCAUUGGAAACUGGGAGACUUGAGUGCAGAAGAGGAGAGUGGAACUCCAUGUGUAGCGGUGAAAUGCGUAGAUAUAUGGAAGAACACCAGUGGCGAAAGCGGCUCUCUGGUCUGUAACUGACGCUGAGGUUCGAAAGCGUGGGUAGCAAACAGGAUUAGAUACCCUGGUAGUCCACGCCGUAAACGAUGAAUGCUAAGUGUUGGAGGGUUUCCGCCCUUCAGUGCUGCAGCUAACGCAA